AUGACAUGGCCUAAGCGUUGUGUAAAGUCGGUUUUUCUCGUCAACCGUGAGUGCACAAGAGUGGUAGCGGGCCCGGCCGUCCAUGGCGACGCGUCGUCGACAUCGCAGCCUCGUCCGUUCCGCGAGGCGCGAGCUUAUAAAAUGGCUGCUGAGGAACUUCAUUUCAGCAAACGGUGCGUCCAUCUCAAAUCAGAAGCUAUCAAACCAACGAAGAAGAGCAGUAAAGCCGUGCUUAAUCGAGUGCAAGGUCCCGUCCGCAUCAUCUCAUCAAGGACCGAUGGCGUUUCUGGGAGGAUCAUUGAACGUGACGAGGAGCAUUGACAGCCGAAAGAGGAUGGACGGGAGGAAGAGCGGCGGCCGGUCGUGGCGGCAGGCGCCGGCGCCGGUGAGGCAGCUGUUCUGGUGGGUGAGGCGCGCCAUGCUUUGGCCGAAGCGCCGCGCCGUGAGCUUCGGGGACGGUGGAGGACGACGACCAUGGCACGAGAAGGUUCGUAGCAUCCAUGACAACAUCUGACGCUAAUGAGGGUCGCUUGUCGGUAGCGCAAAUGAUCAUUUUGUGGUGUGAGGAUGGUGGCCAUCGCACUCGUGGCGCCAUUGGCAACACAUCCGACGCAGGGGUUCCAAUGGUAUGGUGGAUACUUCAGUAUGACUCAUGCCGAUGUGAAUUGGUAGUGGUCAGUUCCGCCCAAACAUAGGCGGCCCCUGACAGCCUUAGUAAUGGUCCGAGUGUUGGAAAUAUGCCCUAGAGAUCAAUAAUAUUAAAAAAAUCAAGUUUAUAAUUAAUAUUUAUAUUCUAUGCUACAAUUGAUAUAUUUCUUGAAUAUGCGAUUCAAAGGAAAACACCA